rnacentral:lncRNA from 1 species
CCUGUCUCCCUCCUACUUUCAGGGGCUGUUGGCUUUGUUGUCAUGCUAUCAGAGGGCAUGGAGUCAUGAAGACACCUCCAGGGAAGCAGGGAGAGGCACGUGGGCUUAGAUCCAGGUCUGGGGAAGGAAGACAUGCCUAUCCUUUUACAUAGAGACCCAGGAACACAGCCGCUACCACUGAUCCUCCCUCCCUCACCAUCCACUUCACAGGCUCAGAGAGGACCGGGGUUUAUCUAGGGUCACAGUGCCAAUGAGCAAGAGUGGGUUGCUAUGGGCAUUGUUGUGGGUGUGUGCCACGCCACUGCUAGGCAAAUGGAUUUUGUCUUGUCUUCGUUUUUUGGAGACAGGAUUUCUCAGUGACAUCCUGGCUGUCCUGGAACUUGCUCUGUAGACCAGGCUGGCGUCCAACUCAGAGAUCUGGGAUUAAUGGUGUCUACCACCACUGGCUUCCUGCGAAGUUUGACUACCAGCUUCCGGAGAGGAUGGCUCCCAGUGUCCUGAAAGGGAACCUUCCUGGGGUAAUUACCUUCUGUUUGCUUGCACUCCUGAAAGAAUGGGCUUGUGUUUGCCAUGUUGCAAGAGGACCCUUCUGUGAUGCUGAGCUCCAGGUCUCUGUGGUCCAGAGGAUCCAGGAGGCUGUGUCAGGCCCAGGGCAGAAGGCCUUAUUGGAGGUGCUGGAGUCCCCGAGAGGCACAGGGGAAGAGGGGACUCUGAGCAAAAGACCAAGAAGCCUCCAUCUUCCUUGCUGCACUCCAGCCACAGCAGGAACAGGGCCCAGCACCUGCUCUGCAGACCCAGGUCUCCUCUCCAUCAGUUCACAUCCUCAGCUGAUGAUAUCACCGAGCACAAUAUGACUGUUAAUUACUGAACUGGAUGGCACUCUCCACGUGGGCUGGAGUAAACGUGAAUUCCUCCCAGGCUUAUGUCCUCCUGGGGUCAUGUACUGGCAGGGUCAUAUUCCUGGGACAUGUGUACUAGGACCCAAGUGAGUCUCCUGCACAGUGUCCUCCUCACAGGCAGACUCCAUUUAGCAGCAGAGCCUCCUACAUUUUGUAUUGAAAUAUUUUAACAGGAGA